UACGAAGGGGGCUAGCGUUGCUCGGAAUUACUGGGCGUAAAGGGCGCGUAGGCGGUGUGUCAAGUCAGGCGUGAAAGCCCCGGGCUCAACCUGGGAACCGCGCUUGAGACUGGCACGCUCGAGUCCGGGAGAGGAUGGUGGAAUUCCCAGUGUAGAGGUGAAAUUCGUAGAUAUUGGGAAGAACACCGAUGGCGAAGGCAGCCAUCUGGACCGGCACUGACGCUGAGGCGCGAAAGCGUGGGGAGCAAACAGG
rnacentral:rRNA from 1 species